CAAUACACCGGUUCUCCUCCGAUCACUGAAGUCAAGCGGCGUUGGACGCGGCCAGUACUAGGAUGGGUGACCGACUGGUAACACCGCGUGA